GCCUGCGUAGUAUAACGGUUAGUACGAUAGUUUGUGGAACUAUAGGAUUUGGUUCGAUUCCAAGCGCGGGUACCA
rnacentral:tRNA from 6 species